UGAUACCCCACUUUUUUUUGGAUGGCCAACCCAAUCCCCCACACCCCGCGGCAUAAGAAAAGAGCCGUUACAACUUAACAAGUCGCAACGUCGUCGUACGCAAAGAAAGGGUAUUUCAGUACAAUUGGGGUUUAGGGUUCCUUUUAUCAUCAGCCUCCUCCGCCUACAAAUACCAGAACCCGAUUCAAUUCAAGCCAUCGCCAUCGUUCUCUCACCAACAUUUCACCGGCGGAGAAAUCGUAUGUAUGUCGUCGAAGUCUUGAAGUAUCAGGCUGUGUGGUGGCAUGAAGAAAACAGCACGCUGAAAUCAAACACCUACUCCAGAACUUCGACGACAAACAUAUGAUUUUGGUAAGCCCUAAUUUCCGGAGCAUAGAAGCAUAAUAUCGCCUUCUUAGGGUUUAAGUAAGCCCUAAUUUUUGUACCGUUGAUUUGUUGCUUCAUAAAUGGUGAAAUCUCUCAAAAUUAAAUGAUAGAAUUUCAAGUUUCCGGAGCAUAUAUUUAGUGUUAUAUAUCACCAGUAUUAAACAGCUCGAUGUGUAUACAAUUGCAUCGGCGUUACCUGUCUCCUGGCACAUUUCUUCACUUUUACGAAAGGAUUUAUUUGAUUCUUAGGUAUUUUUUGUUCUGAUUUUGUGCAAAUAUUUGAUAUUUAGGUAUUUAGGUUGCUUUAUAUUUUUAACUAAUUAGCUGAUUUUGCAUCGGAAUAGUCAAUGAUUAAGCUUUAUUUAUACUCCAAUUUUCGAAAACUUUGGAUUCUGAAGGUGUAGAUCUGUAGAAAUUUUAGUAGAAAGUUGUAGGUGAUGGAUGUGAUGAUUAUUUCCCCAGAUGAUCGAAUCUGAAAUUACUGAGCGCUCACUUUAUGUUUCUCCUUUUCGAGAACUUCAAGCCAGAAAUCUGAUCCAUCUUCAAAAAUGUAUUUUGAUUAGUUUUUAUUUUAUUAUUUUUUGUUAUCUGUUUUGAUAGUUAGAGAGUGGAAAUGAUGAUUAUUUCCCCAGAUGAUCGAAGUUGAUUAUACUGAGCGCAUUUAAUUAUAAUAUUCUCUAUUAUAUUAUAGAGAAUCCAAGCCAGAAAUCUGAUCCUAUCUCUGUUUUUCUUGAUUAAAAUUCGAGUUCCUCUGAUGAUGAUUCAAAUAAAAACUUUCGUUCUUCCGAGGAUGAUAUAUGUCCAUGCGGAAACGAUUAUUGGAGACCUGAACUGAAGAGGCUAAACUACAUUUCUGUUCAAAGUUUGAUCCAUUGAGUUCAACUAUCUUUUGUUGAAUUUGUUCAUACCUUUUUAAUAGAUAAUGUUCAAAAGCUAUGAAUUUUAAGAAUAAGAACCAAUUUAGAUAUGUUACAAGUACUCAGUUUUACCAGAUAUCUAUGACUUUUGAGAACCAAUUAACAUACAUUUUUCUUCUAUUAUUGUAAUCGUAAGUCGAAUGAUCAAAUGAUAAACGAACACAAGAAAUACAAUAGAUAUGUCUUUGCUAGCAAAUGCAAAUCGGAGACGCCUGGUGUUUUGAUGGACCAGGGACCGCGAUGAUCCCCAAUGGUAGCUGUGACUUGCGAUUAGCUGUGACUUAGCGAUUUAGAGUAUCUAUGAAGAUGUUAAUGUAUAACGUUUUCUUGACCGGAUUAAGUGUUGCAUUGAGCUUUGUUUUUGAAACAAAUAUAUGUUUGUUUUUUACUUUUCCGAAGAUUUCUUAGUAUGGUGUAUUGUAUAUCUUAGAAUGAUCUUAAGCCACAUAUAAGUGUGUCGAUGGCUAUGUGAUAUUUUAGUUUGAAUGUGGACCUGUUUUGUUUGUUUUUCUUAGAGUUUGAUCAUUGUUUAAAAUGAUACACAGAAAGCUGCAUGA